rnacentral:lncRNA from 1 species
ACGAUCAUAGGGUGGAGCGACCACUGAAAGCAGAAGAGGGUCAGAAGCCUGAACUUGAAGGUCCCGCAGUGGAUAAUGUCGGUGGAAUCGGGCGAUUCACCAGGAGUGGUAGACUGUUCUCACCACCGGUUAUCCAAGCUGAUAAUGCUGAUGCUGUGGCGAAAGCCAAAGGCAAGCAAGCCGUGAAUGGGGGUACCUCUACA